rnacentral:rRNA from 1 species
UACGUAGGGGGCAAGCGUUGUCCGGAAUCAUUGGGCGUAAAGCGCGUGUAGGCGGCUAGGUAAGUCUGCUCUGAAAGCCCGGGGCUCAACCCCGGGAGGCGGGUGGAUACUGUCUAGCUCGAGUCCGGAAGAGGAGUGUGGAAUUCCUGGUGUAGCGGUGAAAUGCGCAGAUAUCAGGAGGAACACCAAUGGCGAAGGCAGCACUCUGGGACGUGACUGACGCUGAGACGCGAAAGCGUGGAGAGCAAACAGG